UGUCAGAAGAUGAAAGGGCCUGAGUCUCCUAGCAACAGGUUUGCCUCUCUGAAGGGCUCCACAAUCUCCUUUCCACUGGUUAUCACCGCACUGAACCAAAGGGCCAGACAGACAAGUCGACGUCAUGCAAUCUGACUUGAAUAUCAUUGAAUAUAUUCAAUCUCACCUUGGAUAUCAUUUCACUGUUACUUCACCCCGAACUUGAGCCCCCUCAAAAUUCAGCACAAACAUAGCAAAUCUGAGCUUAAGGAACUUCCCCAAAGAAUAGAAUGUUUCACCUCCUCUUAGAAUAUCCUACAUCUCGAAGAGCUUUCUUCUAAGACAGAAGAUUUGUUUACAAGAGGAAACUGCUGAACCACAAGAUCCCGCAUGAGAAGUUUGAAGCCUGUCAUGCGUGCCUACUUUGCUUGUCUGUGCGAUAGCUACUGUUCCGACAUCUUAUAACCCAAACCUCACACGCUCUGCUGCUCCUGACCACAGCAGAACCUCAUAGUCCACAGUGGAGCAAUAAAGCAAGUUCUCCCUUGUGCUUGUCUUUCCAUUCCACAGCUCCAUGGCAAAGCCUGGGGUAUAACACCAUGACAUUCAUGUCCAUAAAGGCUUGGCUUCAUGGGUCUUUCCUGACUCUCCACUGCCCAGCAUUCCCACUGGGGAAGCUCCUGUUCCCCCUUAGUUUCAUGGUGAUCUCCUGCAUGCUCCUGUCCUCUCCAGAGCCUGUGAGGUGCUGAUGCCAUCUCUUUCAUGCACUUUGGUUUCACUUUCGUGUCAUAUCUCACCUGUCACCCCUGGGACCUCACCUUCCUAUCAUGGUUGUCCUAGAGCGUGGCCUCUGCCUGAAGCUAUUUUCUGGAGUUGAUACCUCAAGUUCAAAACAGAAAGAGAUCA
rnacentral:lncRNA from 1 species